rnacentral:rRNA from 1 species
CCUACGGGGGGCAGCAGUGAGGAAUAUUGGUCAAUGGACGAGAGUCUGAACCAGCCAAGUCGCGUGAAGGAUGACUGCCCUAUGGGUUGUAAACUUCUUUUAUCAAGGAAUAAAACGAGGCACGUGUGCCUUUUUGCAUGUACUUUAUGAAUAAGGAUCGGCUAACUCCGUGCCAGCAGCCGCGGUAAUACGGGGGAUCCGAGCGUUAUCCGGAUUUAUUGGGUUUAAAGGGAGCGUAGGCGGGUUGUUAAGUCAGGUGUGAAAGUUUGCGGCUCAACCGGAAGAGUGCCUUUGAAACUGGCAGUCUUGAGUUGGCUUGAGGUAGGCGGAAUGCGUGGUGUAGCGGUGAAAUGCUUAGAUAUCGCGAAGAACCCCGAUUGCGAAGGCAGCAUACUAGCCGGUGACUGACGUUGAUGCACGAAAGUGUGGGUAUCGAACAGGAUUAGAUACCCGAGUAGUC